rnacentral:rRNA from 1 species
AUAGAGAGUUUGAUCCUGGCUCAGGAUGAACGCUAGCGGCGUGGAUAAGGCAUGCAAGUCGAACGCCCCGGUUUACCGGGGAGUGGCGAACGGGUGAGUAAAACAUAGGAAUCUACCUCGAAGUCUGGAACAACACCGAGAAAUUGGCGCUAAUACCAGAUGGUCCCGCAAGGGUAAAGAUUUAUCGCUUCGAGAAGAGCCUAUGCACUAUCAGCUUGUUGGUGAGGUAAUGGCUCACCAAGGCUAUGACGGUUAAGAGGCCCGAGAGGGUGUUCUCUCACAUUGGCACUGAGACACUGGCCAAACUCCUACGGGAGGCUGCAGUCAAGAACCUUCGUCAAUGCACGCAAGUGCGAACGAGCGACGCCGCGUGAGCGAUGAAGCCCUUCGGGGCGUAAAGCUCUUUUAUUAGGGAUAAAUGGUAACUGCUUUUUGUGUAGUUAGAAAAAUAUAUAGGAGGAUAAAACAAAUGAAAUGCAGGGAAUGUAAAAAUGAAAUCAAAGAAGACGAAGAUGUCUUUGAAGGAGAUCUUUGCGAAGAUUGUUUUUUGGAAAAGAUAUUUCCAGAAAGCGAUAAUCAAGAUUGGAAAAGAGAAGAAAGGGAAAGAAAUAGAAAGUGAGUUUCUUCUCUUUUCAAUUUUUUCUAACACUCAAAAAGCAGUUACCAAUUGAUAUUACCUAACGAAUAAGAGGUUGCUAACUCUGUGCCAGCAGCAGCGGUAAUACAGAGACCUCAAGCGUUAUCCGGAUUUAUUGGGCGUAAAGCGCCUGUAGGCGGAAUAAAUAGUCAGAUGUUAAAUUUUGGGGCUUAACCCUAAAACCGCAUUUGAAACGUUUGUUCUAGAGGAUGGUAGAGGCAAGUGGAACUUACGGUGUAGCAGUAAAAUGCGUUGAUACCAUAAGGAACACCAAAGGCGAAGGCAUCUUGCUGGACCAUUUCUGACGCUGAGAGACGAAAGCGUGGGUAGCGAAUGGGAUUAGAUACCCCAGUAGUCCACGCCGUAAACGAUGGAUAUUAGACAUUAGGAGUGUCGACCCUUUUAGUGUCGAAGCUAACGCAUUAAAUAUCCCGCCUGGGAAGUACGGCCGCAAGGCUAAAACUCAAAGGAAUAGACGGGGACCUGCACAAGCGGUGGAGCAUGUGGUUUAAUUCGAUGGUAAACGAGGAACCUUACCAAGGCUUGAAAUCUCUGGAAUCCCGAUGAAAGUCGGGAGUGCCGCAAGGAACCAGAUGACAGGUGCUGCAUGGUUGCCGUCAGCUCGUGCCGUGAGGUGUUCGGUUAAGUCCAGCAACGAGCGCAACCCUUUUCAGAUGUUGAAUUUUUCAUCUGAGACUGCCUGGGUCAACCAGGAGGAAGGCGGGGACGACGUCAAAUCAGCAUGGCCCUUGACGCCUUGGGCUACACACAUGCUACAAUGGGAAGUUACAAAGGGUCGCCAAGCCGAAAGGCGGAGCUAAUCCCACCAAAACUUCUCUCAGUUCGGAUUGAGGGCUGCAACUCGCCCUCAUGAAGCCGGAAUCGCUAGUAAUCGUGAAUCAGCUAUGUCACGGUGAAUACGUUCUCAGGUCUUGUACUCACCGCCCGUCACACCAAUAGAGUCGGUAAUGCCCGAAGUUCCUUUCGCAAGAGAGGACCCACGGCAGGAUCGAUAAUAAGGGUGAAGUCGUAACAAGGCAUCCGUAGCGGAAGCUGUGGAUGGAUCACCUCCUUUCUAGGGAG